CCUACGGGUGGCAGCAGUGGGGAAUAUUGCGCAAUGGGCGAAAGCCUGACGCAGCGACGCCGCGUGAGGGAUGAAGGUCUUCGGAUCGUAAACCUCUUUCAGCAGGGAAGAACGGUCACUGUGCUAAUCAGCAGUGAAUUGACGGUAACUGCAAAGGAAGCACCGGCUAACUCCGUGCCAGCAGCCGCGGUAAUACGGAGGGUGCGAGCGUUAAUCGGAAUUACUGGGCGUAAAGCGCUCGUAGGCGGUAUUGCAAGUCAAGGGUGAAAUCCCCGGGCUCAACCUGGGAACUGCCUUUGAAACUGGCAAACUGGAGUGUGUGAGAGGAUAGUGGAAUUCCUGGUGUAGGAGUGAAAUCCGUAGAUAUCUGGAGGAACAUCAGUGGCGAAGGCGACUAUCUGGAACAUAACUGACGCUGAGGCGCGAAAGCGUGGGUAGCAAACAGGAUUAGAUACCCCAGUAGUC
rnacentral:rRNA from 1 species